UACAGAGGUCUCAAGCGUUGUUCGGAUUCAUUGGGCGUAAAGAGCUCGUAGGCGGUUUGUCGCGUCUGCCGUGAAAGUCCGGGGCUCAACUCCGGAUCUGCGGUGGGUACGGGCAGACUAGAGUGAUGUAGGGGAGACUGGAAUUCCUGGGUGUAGCGGUGGAAUGCGCAGAUAUCAGGAGGAACACCAAUGGCGAAGGCAGCUCCUCUGGUACGUGACUGGACGCUGAGACGCGAAA
rnacentral:rRNA from 1 species